rnacentral:rRNA from 1 species
GAUGAACGCUGGCGGUGUGCUUUAGGCAUGCAAGUCGAACGGUAACAGGUCUAGUUUACUAGAUGCUGACGAGUGGCAAACGGGUGAGUAACACGUAGGAAUCUACCUAGUAGCGGGGGAUAGCCCAUCGAAAGAUGGGAUAAUACCGCAUAAGCCCUUCGGGGGAAAGCAUUUAUGCACUAUUAGAGGAGCCUGCGCGCUAUCAGUUAGUUGGUGGGGUAAUGGCCUACCAAGACUACGACGGCUAGCCGAUGUGAGAGCAUGAUCGGCCACAAGGUUACUGAGACACGGAACCUACACCUACGGGUGGCAGCAACCGGGAAUAUUGCGCAAUGGACGAAAGUCUGACGCAGCGACACCGCGUGUGGGAAGACGCUUUUCGGAGUGUAAACCACUGUGGCGAGGGAUGAAUUUUUGACAGUACCUCGCUAGAAAGCACCAGCUAACCACGUGCCAGAAGCUUCGGUAAUACGUGGGGUGCGAGCGUUAUCCGGAUUUAUUGGGCGUAAAGGGUCCGUCGGCGUUUUUAUUAGUCUUUUGUUUAAGCCUGGGGCUCAACUCCGGAAAGGCAAGAGAUACUGUAAAAAUAGAGUCUGUUUGAGGAAACUAGAAUUCUUG